AUUGAACGCUGGCGGUAGGCCUAACACAUGCAAGUCGAACGGCAGCACAGUAAUAGCUUGCUCUUACGGGUGGCGAGUGGCGGACGGGUGAGGAAUACAUCGGAAGCUGCGUUUUCUUGGGGGAUAACGUAGGCAAACUUACGCUAAUACCGCAUACGGCCUACGGGUGAAAGCAUCGGACCUUCGGACCUUACGCGAGUGAAGGAGCCGAUGUCGGAUUAGCUAGUUGGCGGGGUAAAGGCCCACCAAGGCGACGAUCCGUAGCUGGUCUGAGAGGAUGAUCAGCCACACUGGAACUGAGACACGGUCCAGACUCCUACGGGAGGCAGCAGUGGGGAAUAUUGGACAAUGGGCGAAAGCCUGAUCCAGCCAUACCGCGUGGGUGAAGAAGGCCUUCGGGUUGUAAAGCCCUUUUGUUGGGAAAGAAAAGCAGUAGGUUAAUACCCCGCUGUUCUGACGGUACCAAAAGAAUAAGCACCGGCUAACUUCGUG
rnacentral:rRNA from 1 species